rnacentral:rRNA from 1 species
UUCGUAGGUGGUGCGGCAAGUUGGGAGUGAAAUCUCUGGGCUUAACCCAGAGGCUGCUUUCAAAACUGCCGUGCUCGAGUGCGAGAGAGGUCAGUGGAAUUGCAGGUGUAGCGGUGAAAUGCGUAGAUAUCUGCAGGAACACCCGUGGCGAAGGCGGCUGACUGGAUCGCAACUGACACUGAGGAACGAAAGCUAGGGGAGCAAACA